UACAGAGGUCUCAAGCGUUGUUCGGAUUCAUUGGGCGUAAAGGGCGCGUAGGCUGCGGGGCAAGUCGGGUGUGAAAUCUCAGAGCUCAACUCUGAAACUGCACUCGAUACUGCUUUGCUUGAGGACUGGAGAGGAGAUUGGAAUUCACGGUGUAGCAGUGAAAUGCGUAGAUAUCGUGAGGAAGACCAGUGGCGAAGGCGGGUCUCUGGGCCGUAACUGACGCUGAGGAGCGAAAGCAUGGGGGAGCGAACAGG
rnacentral:rRNA from 1 species